GUGCACAUGUGUAGGGCCUCACACCACAUGCACACGGUUGUUCACACCCCUCAGCACCCUCAGCACCCUGGAGAAGAAGCGCCUCACCCUGCCCGGCUUCUUCUUCUUCUCAGGCUGGGUGACGUCUGAAAAUCACAAGAGGACAGUCAGUGGCAGCAGCAGCCUUGGUGGAGGCAGCCAGAGUGUGGAAGGAGUCACGAUUUUAUUCGUGUCCUGUUCGAGGCAUCGGACCAGAGUUCCAAAGGCGCCCUCACCCAAUCUGCCCAGCUCCACAUAGUUGUUGGACCUAUGGGAGCCUUCAGUGGAGACCGAGAGGGGAGGGGCCGUCAGGAUGGGAACAGUGCUGAAUGCUGAGUGUGCUGCUGCUAAAACAUUUGCCGUGAACUCUGCAACAGGAUGGUUUCUCUCAGUAUGGAUUCACCCUGGAGCCACAGGGCUGCUGUUGCCAUAUUCUGGACAGAAUUUGUCAUCUGUUUGUGUUAUUAGAUUUAUAUCAAAAAUAACACUGUGACAGUUCGAGUUUAAAAAAUGUUAAUUCGAUAUUUUUU